UUUCCGUAGGUGAACCUGCGGAAGGAUCAUUACCGAGUUAGGGUGCUUCUCAGCGCCCGACCUCCCAACCCUUUGUGAAUCGUACUCGUUGCUUCGGGGGCGACCCUGCCGUCCGCGGCUGAGCGCCCCCGGGGUCAAUCAAACACUGCAUUCUCUGCGUCGGAGUUUAAGUAAAUUAAACAAAACUUUCAACAACGGAUCUCUUGGUUCUGGCAUCGAUGAAGAACGCAGC
rnacentral:misc_RNA from 1 species